GAUGAACGCUGGCGGCGUGCCUAAUACAUGCAAGUCGAGCGAACGGACGAGAAGCUUGCUUUUCUGAUGUUAGCGGCGGACGGGUGAGUAACACGUGGAUAACCUACCUAUAAGACUGGGAUAACUUCGGGAAACCGGAGCUAAUACCGGAUAAUAUUUUGAACCGCAUGGUUCAAAAGUGAAAGACGGUCUUGCUGUCACUUAUAGAUGGAUCCGCGCUGCAUUAGCUAGUUGGUAAGGUAACGGCUUACCAAGGCAACGAUGCAUAGCCGACCUGAGAGGGUGAUCGGCCACACUGGAACUGAGACACGGUCCAGACUCCUACGGGAGGCAGCAGUAGGGCAUCUUCCGCAAUGGGCGAAAGCCUGACGGAGCAACGCCGCGUGAGUGAUGAAGGUCUUCGGAUCGUAAAACUCUGUUAUUAGGGAAGAACAUAUGUGUAAGUAACUGUGCACAUCUUGACGGUACCUAAUCAGAAAGCCACGGCUAACUACGUG
rnacentral:rRNA from 1 species